GCCGCAGCCCUCCGCUCAGCCCCGCCCCGAGCGGCGGUGGCGGUCUGACCUCCGAGCCUCCGGCUGCGCGGCGGGGCUGUAGCGGCAGCAUGACGGUGCCCUGGGCUCUGCCCGCGCCCCUCAGCCCGGCGCAGCUGAAGCGCCUGGAGCAGCACCGCUACAGCGCGGCCGGGCGCUCGGUGCUGGAGCCGUGGCUGCAGCCGUACUGGGCCUGGCUGGUAGAGCAGGUCCCGCUGGGGCUGGCCCCCAACACCAUCACCCUGGGCGGCCUGCUGUUGAACUGCCUGACGGCGCUGCCGCUCAUCGCCUGCUGCCCCAGCGCCACCGAGCAGGCACCUUUUUGGGCAUACAUUCUGGGUGCAUUAGGACUUUUUAUCUACCAGUCUCUGGAUGCCAUAGAUGGGAAGCAAGCCAGAAGAACGAACAGUAGUUCUCCUCUAGGAGAGCUCUUUGAUCAUGGUUGCGACUCUAUUUCCACAGUUUUUGUUGUCCUUGGAUCCUGCAUAGCAAUCCGACUAGGAACAAAUCCUGACUGGUUGUUUUUCUGUUGUUUUGUGGGACUGUUCAUGUUCUAUACUGCUCACUGGCAGACAUAUGUAUCAGGCAUACUAAGAUUUGGAAAAAUUGAUGUAACUGAAGUUCAGAUAGCCAUAACAAUGCUGCUCUUGACAUCUGCAUAUGCUGGAACAGCAAUAUGGGACUCUAAGGUCCCUUUGGUGGGCUUAGAAUUGAAGUUCCUUGCAGUUUUUGGCAUAUUAUGUGGAACAGCACUUUCUUCAUUCAGUUACUUCCGUGUCAUCUUUGGUGGAGGAAUUGGAAAGAAUGGAUCUACAAUAGCAGGAACAAGUGUUCUUUCACCAGGCCUGCACAUUGGACUACUUCUCACGCUGGCCGUUAUGAUCUAUAAAAAGUCUACAACUCAGCUAUUUGAAAAACAUUCUUGCCUGUAUGUCUUGACAUUUGGGUUUGUGAAUGCCAAAAUCUCACAGAAGCUGGUGGUGGCUUACAUGACAAAAAGUAAAAUCUGUCUUCAGGACACUGCAUAUAUUGGGCCAGGACUUCUAGUUUUGGAUCAGUACUUCAAUAGUUUCAUUGAUGAAUAUAUUGUUCUAUGGAUAGCAUUGUUCAUAUCCUUGUUUGAUAUGCUGAGAUAUGCCACUGGUGUAUGCCUACAGAUUGCUGCUCAUCUUCAUAUACAUGUCUUCCGAAUUUCAUCUCAUCAAGCUCCUGAACAGGUUCAAAACCAUAAUGACUGAUUAAAUAGGUCAAGAACAAAAGAAGAAGCAGUUAGGGGAAUGCUGAAUGAAGCAGCCUGUCUUUUUUGGGGGGAAGAGAUUAAGCUUUUUAAGAAAACAGUUUUAUGAGAAAGUUCACUCUAUCCUAGACAUUAUCAGGUGUUAGAGUUACGAAGUACAAAGUCCUGCAGAUUCUGUUGUGAUUGUUACUUUUGAACCAGGAUGUAUUUUUCCCCCGUGUUUUAGAGCAUGAAUACUGCAUUUGAAACUUUUGCCAUUUCCUGUUAGGUAACCUUAAUUUUGUACUUCUGGUCUGGUGAAUGCAGGCUGCAAACCCAGGUGCUACGAACCAGAAUUCCAAGAGGAAUUUAACUUUUCCCUAAUCUUCUAUUGUUAGUUUUUAAAGUCUUCUUGGAACUGCUGUGAAGUGGUAGUCAUGUAUCAGUGAAUACUGUACUGCAUUAUUAAGACUGGUAAAAUGAGGUAUAUGUGAGGUAAAACUACUCAUUAAUCUCUGUUCCAGUAUUUCUAAAGAAAAAGCUACUGGAUCAGUACGAUGAAGGAGGUAUAGCUCAGGAAAAUUUUCUUCUAUGUCAAAAUACUAUGAAGUACUAUGAAGUUGUGAGUGCCUUUAGGAUCAUGGAUUCUCUAGUAUCUAAGUACGUAACCUACAUGACUAAAUACAAUUUUAGCUUGUGUUUUCUUUCAAGGCCAGUUUCUGGUUUUGUGGUCCCAGUAAGGUUUGCCUCAUUGUACUCCAUCAUUAUCUAGACUAUAGGUAGUUGUGUACUCUGGGGGCACUUACUUUACCUACCUUAACAUGCAUCUGAAACUAUACAAGUGAAUGACCAAGUUCAUUUAUAAAUGACUGUGACAAUGCAGCCCAUCCAUACGUAACUCCCUCUGAAGUAUAUUUGCUAUUGCUGUGUUCAUCUAUCUUAUAAUCUGUUCUGUAGCUGUCACUGUACAUUAUCCAAACAAAAUUGCACUGAGCUAAAACCAAAUGUAUAGUAAAAAUCUCCAAAACAGGAAUUCAGGCCCAAUAUCAGCCUUUCCCUUUCCGUAAGAACAGACUGACUGGCUAACAUAAUGUACCUAGCUAAAGGGCUGUUGUUGGCAUUAGAGAAAAGCUGCGUGAAAGUAGCUUAUCACCUGCAUGAGCAAAUCAUGACUUGCAUGCAAACCCUAUAAGCUUAAACUCCUUUAAAAAGGUACGUUUUGAAUAUGAUUUUUGUAAAAAGCUGUUGAAUGUGUCUGUUACCACUUUCAGUUGCUGAUAUGUAGCUGAGCUGUGAGUUCAUAAAGUCCUUCCUGAACUGUAAAAUAGACAGCUAUGAUUUGUUUUAAAAAUAUUACCACUGCAGCUUCCUAGUUGCACAUUAAUUCAAAAAGACUUCCUGAGGUGUUCAAGGAACUUUAAAAGUGGCAUACUGUCUGGUAAAUUUGGAGGGAAUAAAAUACCGUCUACCAAACUCCUGCCUAAGAAGGAUAUGCUGAUAGACUGGAGGGAUAACUGUAACAGUUAAUGCUAAAGGACCAGUACUCCAAGUGACUAGUAUCAAUCCCAGAUGAGUCCUACUACUCCUACUGUUUGAGGCUGUGAGAGACAGAGCAUAUAUAAAGGAACUUAGCCUGAGCCCAGCCCAUGGGGAAGUAGAAGAUGGUACAAGUUGUUUCUCCAUUGAGCCAUCAGAAUAACAUGGACUGAAGAGACUUGCGAACAGCUGCCAUCUCCUGCUGUUGCUGUUACAAGAAAGGGAGAUAAUACUGAACAAAUGCCAUAUCAAUAUGAUUCCUUUGAGCCAAUUAAAAGAAUGUCAAAUGA